rnacentral:rRNA from 1 species
AGCAGCCGCGGUAAUUCCAGCUCCAAUAGCGUAUAUUAAAGUUGUUGCAGUUAAAAAGCUCGUAGUUGAAUUUUAGGCCUGACCGGACGGUCCGUCUCUGGCGAGUACUGUUCUGCUGUCGGGUCUAUCCUUCUGGUGAGCCGGUAUGCCCUUUAUUGGGUGUGUCGGGGAACCAGGACCAUUACCUUGAAAAAAUUAGAGUGUUUAAAGCGGGCUUUUGCUUGAAUAGAUUAGCAUGGAAUAAUAGAAUAGGACGUUGGUUCUAUUUUGUUGGUCUAGGACCACCGUAAUGAUUAAUAGGGAUAGUUGGGGGCAUUAGUAUUCAAUUGUCAGAGGUGAAAUUCUUGGAUUUAUUGAAGACUAACUACUGCGGAAGCAUUUGCCAAGGAUGUUUUCAUUAAUCAAGAACGAAAGUUAGGGGAUCGAAGACGAUCAGAUACCGUCGUAGUCUUAACCAUAAACUAUGCCGACUAGGAAUCGGGCGACGUUAUUCUCAUGACUCGCUCGGCGCCUUAUGGGA